AUCAAUGUGGGGAAAUGCUAGAUUCACCCUCUUUCCCUUUGUUCCGAAUUCACUGUGAGUUCCUUCCUCCUCUUAAAACUGAGACAUCUUUACAGAUUAAUGAAGCUGUGUGCAGGGUAGAUAGCAGCACAUAGUGGGCACUUUCAUUCAAUGACACCUGGAUAAAAGUGCAAGCCUGCCACUCACUCUCUUAUUACCUUAAGAACAAGAAUGUUCAGGCCAAGGAGCCCAAAACUGAAAGCUGAAGGGAAACACUCUAUCCCAGAGCUGGAUUAUAACAAGCAAACAAAAAGACAGGAGCAUCAUGACAACAAUUUGAAGAACUUUUCCUUCCUGUCCAUCAAUCCAGAAUGGAGCAAUACAUCAUCAGUCUAACUUCACUUUGGGAGCAACUGUGGCAUUGUCAACAAGAAAACAGAACUUUCAGAAAAGAAAAAAAAAGUGGUGAGAAAGCACAAGAAAAAUAUACCAGAAUAACAUUGAAAAGCAAAAAGCUACCUAAAAGGACAGCAAAGCUUUAACACACAGCCAAUCGGGGCUUUGCCAUAUGUGCUAUUUCCAUGUGCAUGAGGUCCGCUGUUGUGGUUGACGUGAAACUCUCAUUGCACAAUACCCCAAAAGGCAGCUCACCCUCCAAAGAUUUGGUGUCGUUAUAGUCAGAGCUGGUAAAAUGGUGCCAAAGUCUCUUGGCUCAGAAUAAAU